rnacentral:ncRNA from 1 species
UACCUAGUUAAUUCUGCUAGUAGUCAUAUGCUUAUCUUAAAGAUUAAGCUAUGCAUGUCUAAGUAUAAGCAAUUAUACUAUGAAACUGCAAAUAGCUUAUUAAAUUAGUUAUUAUUUAUUUAAUAGUACCUUACUACUUAGAUAACCUGCUAGUAAUUCUAGAGCUAAUAUAUGCUAAAAACUCUAACUUUAGGAGAGGUAUAUUUAUUAGAUAAAAAACCAACGCCCUUUAGAGCUUCUUAGUAAUUUAUAAUAACUUUACAGAUUGCAUAGCCUUGCGCCGGCGACAGUUUAUUUAAAUUUCUGCUCUAUUAACUUUCGAUAGUAAGGUAUUAGCUUACUAUAGUUUCAAUAGGUAACGGGGAAUUAGAGUUCAAUUCUAGAGAGAGAGCCUAAGAAAUAGCUACUAUAUCUAAGGAAGGCAGCAGGCGCGCAA